ensembl:lncRNA
AAUUUCUCUUAAUAUGAGGAUGAACCCCUAUGCUAAGCCUCUGUGAGGAAAUAUGCCUCCUUCAUAUGUUGUGACUCAGCAAAUUAAUUAUAUUUCCAUAAAAUGGAGAAGGCAAUGGUAUAGAAAGACAAUAAAUUAAGUCCUGCUCUGGAUAUGUCAUCCUUGAUGGAAUACGUUUUUAAUUUUAUUUAUAUAUUGUUAAAUAGAGUUUUUUUGCUUUAAGCAUUGCAUCACUUGCUCAGAAUGAAGAUUAUGGGAACUGAGACUUUACUGACAUCAACUACAGUAAUAUAAACCAUCUACAUUUAUGAAAGAAGAAAGACAUCAAAGACAGCACUGUGGUGCCUUUCAUCAAUGAUAAAGACCAUCUGAUACUAUACAGGAACACCAGUGUCAGAGUAUGUGUGACAAUCUGAAAAGUAAUUGGGCAACUUUAUGCAGAGCCGAGACUCACCUCAAAAGGGAGCAGGCUCCAUUUUGAUUCUGCUUUCUCUCUGACAGCAUGCAGGUAGGAAGAAUUGGGGAGCAGCUGGGGGUGGAGAUGAGGCUCUCUUUGCUCAUCCUGUGCUGGGUUCAGAGUGGCAUUGGCCAGCACUACACAGGAACAUGCUGGGCUGUGAUGGAUUUUACAUUCUUUGUUUUAUAGGACACUAAACCGAAAUUUUUCAAAAUGAAAGUGCUCAAUGAUCCUUGGGAUGAAUGAGCAGCCUUGCUCUCUGGCAUGGGUGCAUUUUCCAGGAUGGCUGAAGUGUCACUGCAGAAAACAAUCACUUGGCUUGUGCCCUGUGGCAGGCAGUGGUUUUCAACCAGGAGUAAGACAACUGUCAGAGUAAAGCUGAAAAUGAUCUUGAACUGAACAAAAGUUGAUUUGGUUGCCAGGCUUAGAAGUAGGGGUUUCAGGUCACAAAAAGAGAUGCUUUCAAGAAAUUCCCUGUCAGAAUUGUAAAUAGUGACACAUCAGGUUGUCAGUGGUCAGGACAUUCUUGUGUGUGUGUAAAUAACAAGAAGAACAUCCCUGGUACUCAGUGCUUAAACAAAGAUUAAAAGUCAUAAGGAUGUCAAACAAUACCAACUGUGUUGCCUUCUGUGUACCUGUACCUAAUGGCUUAUCUGGACACUGUUCUCAGGAAUCCUCACACUUCAGAAGAUAAAAUGAUUUAUUUUGUUCUCAGCAAAGACUUAAAUUGCUUCUUCUUCAAGUCUUUAAUACACAGAGCAAGUUUUGAAAACAUCAAUUUUCUUUAAGUUAGGGAACAGCCUCUCAACAGUGAAGGAAAAUGUGUAUUUUAGCUAAAGUAACAUAAUAUUCAGCUGGAAUCCUUAAUUGCAGAUACAGUAGGACAGAUGCAUCGCCAGCAAAACUAUAAUUCUCUCCCUACUCAAUAUUUUGAGCCCAAACUGAACCUUCUCCUGUAAAUGUAACUAUUUCCAUAUAAAAUAUUCUAUGAGACCAAAUUCUACAUUUGUUCAUUAGAGCAAAUAAAAUUGCAGAAAUGUUUUAUUCGUUGUUUUCUUUUAAUGCUGUGUUUCACCAUGUAAGUGUCCUAGAAAUCCACUGAUAAUUCACUGAGACGAUCCACCCGGAAAGACUUUGAUCUCUAAACAUGACAAGAAAAAUCAUGGUUACUUCAGUCUUCCCAGUGCCACACCCUGUACAUGUCCAUUACUGUAGACGUUUUUGUAAGAAAUGGUUUUGGGGGCUUGAAUAGGAAAAGGUUAGUUGGAUCCUAGUUCCACAAUGUGCUUAAUUACAUCUAUUAUUGUGGGCCUGCUGAUUGAGAUGGGAUCAAAGUCAUCAGCUUAAAUCAAGCCUGUGCUUUGGAGCAAAACUCUGUGAGAUCAUCUCCUACCCAUCCCGCAUCCAAAGCUUUAAGAUUUAAACACAUGGCUUUAUGAAAUGGCUGCAUCAUAAUUUUCCAAGGUGAGUGUAAAGUAGAUUGAGUUGGCAAUAUACCAAAUUAGUUUAGAAGAUUACAUAAACAAUAGUCUAGACAGAGCUGCAGAUUUUUGUCUCCUGCUACACUCAUAUAUCUAGUGUUCUCCGCAGGAACUUUUUAUCUCUCCUACUCAAUCUAUUUCAUGAAAAAUGUACUUGAAAUAACACUAAGGUUUGCAUUUCCCAAUGCUUCCUACUCCUCUUCACAGCCUAGUGAUAAUGAAGAGGAAGUUUUGUUCUGGGCUGUUUCUCAGCUUCUAGAGCACCCACAUAACAGACACGUGUGAAAAUGACUCAAAAAGUGAUGAACAAAAUCUCACUACAUCUGCAUUUUGCUCCUAAUGGCACAUUUUUAUUCAUUUUUCAAGCUGCAACAACCAUUUCAGUCUUGAGAUCAUUACAGCCCUUUAAAUAUUCUAAACAAGGGCGAGUUUUACAGUAUUCAUAUUGUUCAUUUAGCCACAAGUAGUUAAAAUUUUUUUUUUAACUUAUGACAAGAUGCUAGCUCAGAAAGAACUAUCAAAUUAAUGUAUUGUAAGAAAAAAUAUUUAACAAGCAUCAACCCCAGGCCAAAUCAGCAAAAAAAGGGAAACAGUCCAGUUUUCCCACUAAAGUGAACAACUGUUAACAUUUUGGAGGGUGAACCGAUGUGUGUGCAGAUGUGCAGCAUUUGUGUGGGAGAGGUCACUACUAAUCUCCAAAACUUCGAGUCUGGCUUCUGUUGUAAAUCUUUCUUGAUGCUUUGGACAUCUUUAAGUCUUCUGGCAUGCAAAAUCGUCUGUGCUGUGCUGAUCAGCUGCUCACUUUGACUGCAAGGACAGGAACAAUGAGUAUUGUCCUUUGACUGCAGCACUUCUGUUUUCUCAGUCCAAAAUAAUGGAUUUUGUUCAUGUUGCACCCUUGCAGGAGUUACUUGACCUUGCAGGAUGUAAAUGAACAUCCAGGUACAAGUCUCCAUGUCCUCUCAUUUUUCUGGCCUCUAUAUUCUCUUACCAUUUUCUGCCUCUUAAUUUUUCACAGCUCAGUUUUAUGAAAUGCCUUACUGCUUCCCACACGUCUCAUUUCUACAUUUGCUUAGCCUCUACAUAUCCUUCUUAUCCUCUCCAUGUUGUUCUUUUGCCCUUUGCUUCUCACUUACCCAUCUGGCACAGCACUUGGACCAAUGGCUUCCUAAAGCUUGGAUAAACAAGCAAGGCAGAAUUUUUCCCAGUGUUUUCUCUGUGUCAGUAGAUUAGGAAGUGAAAGUGCCUUUUUUAACUGGUAGUGAGUGCUGAACCACACCUGAUCUUGUCAAAAACACCACUAAUAUGAUGCAUUUCACACAGAACUGACUGAAGGUUCACAUCUUCCUUCCUUCCCUCAUCUGAAUGAUAGUAAAACCAUUCAAAUUUUUGGUUUGUGACCUGGAAAUUCAGAUAAGCCACCAACUCACAAAGGAAAAAUGUCUUCCUGACCAUGUGACAGCUGAAAAUUUUUAAUAAAAAAACAACAUCAUGCUGAACAUACUGAAGUUGUGACGGUGGUGGUGGUUGGAAAGGAGUUUGGGUAGGUUGCUGUUUUCAUAACAGGCAGCUUAAAAAGUCCUGGAUACUUGUGUGGUGUAGAAUCACAGAUGAUGAAAUUUUACAUCUCCAUCCAUCCUGACAUGUUUUGAAUAAAUUUUAGGAUCUAUCAAAUGGUAGUCUUUGAUGGAAACCUAGAAAGGUAUUUUCAUGCAAGUUAGGUAACAUAGGAGACUUAAAUAAAGCCCUUGAGAAGGUAGUGCAAAGUUUCUGACACUUCUAGAGAGUGUUCUGGAGCAGAACUAACAAGCAGAUACUCCUGUUGUCCUCCUCAGGUUUCCAUACCUCUCCAAAGACCCCAAAUGGAAACCAGGAAGGCUGCAUUCCUAAGUCAGGUGCCUGAACUUGGUGGCCUACUGCCAGGGACAGCUUUUCCCUUAUUUUCUCCGAGAAGUCUUGGAACAUCUUAGAGAUGUUCCAACAUCUCCGAGAACAUCUUGGAAGCAGUGCAUGAGGAAGCAAACUAAAGAGCAAGAGGGCAGCAUGUUGAUGUAUUUAAAUGGGAAAGAGAAAAAGCAUGGAUGCUUUUUGUAGCUCAAGUGCUGGAAAAAUCUCAGACAGUGAAGAGGAGAAGCUAGACAAAGCAUUUUCAGCCUUCUGGUAGUUUCAGGGUAAAAUGACUGCUGUUAAGAUGUUGUAUUAUAAUAUCUAGGUCCAUUAAACAGAUUAACAUAUGAACAUAACCUAAGGAUGUGAACAUAACCUAAGGGUGAUGAUAUGAAUAUGCAAAUGGUUGCUGGCUGUCUACAAGGCAUCAGGGUUAGGAUCUGUGGAAAUCUGAACUUCCAACAAGGAACUCAGUUUAAGGGUCUGGGAUAAUAUUAUUCUCAGAUUUAUCUGCAAAACCAUGGGUAGCAUAAGCAAAGUCUUAUCCAAGAAAACUCAGUGUAGGGGUCACCUUAUACCCACAAAGUUAUCAGCUAAACUACUAGAUGAUCUGAAAGAAUGAGGUCAUACAGAGCUCUUGGGAGCUGACUAACCUUUAACUUGUCAUGAAGAAUAACUCUUCUUCAUUUAGUUGUUCUUUCUUAGAUUAUCCUACCUUUAAAAUCCACUGCCUUCUCAGCUUUGUUCUGCAGUGCAAAAAUAGCAGUGGUAACUGAUUUGCAGCCAAGGUGAUUUUUUUCUGUUUGAAUUUUUUUUGCCAUUUCAUAAUGCUUUUUGUGAAUUCCAGAAUUCCAGAAUUAGCAGUGGCAAAAUAAAUAGGAAAUUUCACUUGGACAGCAGCAUCAGAAAACACACACACACACA